AUGGCACCAACAGGAGUUUCAAAACCACCCUGGUGGCGGGGCCUCCUCCACCUCCUCAGCUCGGGGCAGAGCAGUGAUGGCGGCUGCCAGCUGGGUUGGGAGGUUGAGCAGGGCAAGGAGCCCAGUCAGUUGGAGCUGCUGCAGCCUCCUCAGCCCCAUCCUCCUCCGCCGCCUCCCCAGCCGCUGCAGGAAGAGGUGGUGGCAGCAGCGUCCCCUAUGGACAACUGGUUCCUGAGUCUGGACUUGCCCACUUAUGUCCUGUACAGGUUCAGAGCAGAAUGGGCUGAAAUAGAUCCAGUGCUGCAGAAUGAUGGCCCCAAUCCAGUGGUCACGAUCACUUAUAGUGAGAAAUUUCAGGACAUCUAUGAUUAUUUCCGGGCUGUCCUGCAGCGUGACAAGAGAAGUGAGCAGGCUUUUAAAUUAACCAGAGAUGCUAUUGAGUUAAAUGCAGCCAAUUACACAGUGUGGCAUUUCCGGAGAGUACUCCUAAAGUCACUUCAGAAGGUUCUACAUGAGGAAAUGAACUACAUCUUUGCAAUAAUAGAGGAGCAGCCCAAAAACAAUCAAGUUUGGCAUCAUAGGCGAGUGCUGGUGGAAUGGCUGAGAGACCCGUCACAGAAGCUUGAGUUUAUUGCAGAUAUUCUUACUCAGGAUGCAAAGAAUUAUCAUGCCUGGCAACACCGACAAUGGGUUAUUCAGGAAUUUAAACUUUGGGAUAAUGAACUGCAAUUGUAGACCAACUUCUUAAAGAGGAUGUGAGAAAUAACUCUGUCUGGAACCAAAGAUAUUUUGUAAUUUCUAACACUACAGGCUAUAAUGAUCGUGCUAUAUUGGAGCGAGAAGUCCAGUACACUCUGGAAAUGAUCAAACUAGUCCCACAUAAUGAAAGUGCAUGGAAUUAUUUGAAAGGGAUUUUGCAGGAUCAUGGUCUUUCCAAAUAUCCCAAUCUGUUAAAUCAAUUACUUGAUUUACAACCAAGUCACAGCUCUCCCUACCUAAUUGCCUUUCUCGUGGAUAUCUAUGAAGACAUGCUAGAAAACCAGUGUGACAACAAGGAGGACAUUCUUAAUAAAGCAUUUGAGGUUAAAAAAAAAAAAAAGCUGUGGUACAUAUACACAAUGGAGUAUUACUCAACCAUUUAAAAGAAUACAUUUGAAUCACU